rnacentral:rRNA from 1 species
AACGAACGCUGGCGGCAUGCCUAACACAUGCAAGUCGAACGAAGGCUUCGGCCUUAGUGGCGCACGGGUGCGUAACGCGUGGGAAUCUGCCCUUUGGUUCGGAAUAACAGCUGGAAACGGCUGCUAAUACCGGAUGAUGACUAAAGUCCAAAGAUUUAUCGCCAGAGGAUGAGCCCGCGUUGGUUUAGGUAGUUGGUGGGGUAAAGGCUUACCAAGCCGACGAUCCAUAGCUGGUCUGAGAGGAUGAUCAGCCACACUGGGACUGAGACACGGCCCAGACUCCUACGGGAGGCAGCAGUGGGGAAUAUUGGACAAUGGGCGCAAGCCUGAUCCAGCAAUGCCGCGUGAGUGAUGAAGGCCCUAGGGUUGUAAAGCUCUUUUACCCGGGAAGAUAAUGACUGUACCGGGAGAAUAAGCCCCGGCUAACUCCGUG